GAAACAAGUAAUUUUUUUAUUAUUUAUUAUUCAUGUCAUACAGACAUCACAAAACAAAUUUUACAGAACAAUCACCGGCAAAUUCAUUUGUUCUCUUGAUCAAUACUCAUAAGAGAAAUCCUCUGCCGGUGAUUUACGAAAACUCGCCGGAUAAUUAAUCCAAUUCCGGGGUGGAAAAUUAACCAAAACUUAUGAAAAUGGACUAAUUCCCAUGCUGGAAAUGUCAGAUGCACAAAAUUAAACAGAACACUUUUUUUUUUUUUUUCAUCUUUCCCUAAACAAACAGGUUCAGGAGCUUUCCUCCCGGUCCGCUCUCCAAACACGUUAUCGUCGUCGUCACCGACUCCUCUGAAUUCAUAGACGGACUGCCCAGCCUCAGGUUUUCCGGUUUACACGGCGAUGUUUUUGGGGAGAAGAUCUGCAUCAACCGAAGAUCCAGAUCGUUCUUCGGUAACUGUAGCUGAAAUUGUUGCUGCUUAACUAUAUUCACAGGUUCGUCCAUUAUUUUCCGUUUUGGCGACACUUUGGAUCUCGAAUUGGAAAAUCGGGAAUGGUGAAUCGGAUUUGGAUCCUGGAGUUUCCACAUGUCCGUACAGGCCACUUCAACCUCGGACGCUUCGUCGGACGCCGGGGACGGAGAUCCUCCUGCUGCGAGAAGCUCAGGCAUCGGCCGCAGCGUGCCGCCGCGUAGAACAGUUUCUACAGCGGCUUCGCAAACGUGCCAAUUACCAGUCCACAGGAGCCCUACAGCGCCGUUUACAGGAUUCACGGUUCUACCGCAGGCUUCAAAUAAUAAAGAUUGAAACAAAGCUGGAAAACCAAGAUACCAAAUAUCAAAAUAAGAUCUAAACACCAUAAACACAAAAAGGGUACGUAUUGUUAAUAGUUCAAUAGACACUAACCAGGACGCUGGCUUUCGGGAACGGCUGAGAUGAAGGACAUGAGACCGGCGCGGCCAAAGAACUUAGCGACGAAGACGGUGGCGUGGCCUUGGGCUUCAGGGCUCUCGAUCCACUGUAAACACGGCCGUAAAAUACAGGUUUCGCUGCACCCUUUGCGUAAGACUCUGCACCCGUUGCAACUCAUUGUUUUCUACCUCAACACUCACAUGAACACGAACACAAAACCCAACCCAGACCCAAAAUGGUUACCUUGAAGAAUUCACAGGGAACAGGAGCUAGAAAAGAUAGCGGAGAAGCAAAGACAAGAGACGUAGGAAGAUAGAGAAGAGAAAUUAAGCUUGCAAGGAAGAGGGGAAGGUGGUAUAUAUAUAUAAAGAGGAAGCAGAAAUUGAAGCAUGGGUUGUGUUAUGCAGUUAACUAGGGUUGAGUUGGUUGAGUAGUGGGCUAGUGGGUGGGUGACUGUAUUUAACUAGCGGAGGACAGUAGUAAGGAAAAGAAAGGGUCAGAUUCCAAAGAGUUGGGCGCGAGCGGCUCCGUGUCUCCGCGGAUGGUUGUCCCUCCACCGUUGGAUUCUUCAUUUUCUUUAUAAAAAAAAAAAAAAGGGGAAGAAAGCUUUGUGAUUUGUGGUGGUGGAGUGGAUAUCUUGACCGAUUGGGGCAUUCCCUUUUUAUUUUUAUUUUAUUAGCUAAUUUCAAAAUUUCUAUUAUUCUCCAUAGAGAAUAAAAGCAAGGUGGUGGCUAUACUGAAAGACUGGCUUAGGGUGAGGGAAACUGUGGGUAUUUGGAAAAAAGAAAAAUGGAAUGGUGGUCAUGGCAUGCACAUGUAUGGAGAAAUGGGAAAAUAUUCGAUUUGUUGUAGUGGGGUUAUGAUAUUGGUAGUGGAGAGAAAAGACGUGGUAUUUUUAGUGGCUAAUCAUUGGUUGAAGGAUUGGUGCGAGAUUAGGAAACACAUCCAUUGUUAGCGGUGCUAGUUUUUCCAUUACAUAAUUUCUUCUCUCUCGUCAAUAAAUUAUUUUCAUUCCCUUUUAACUUCGAUCAUUCAUUCAAUUCAACCUCAUUUUCUUGUUUCA
rnacentral:misc_RNA from 1 species